GACGAACGCUGGCGGCGUGCUUAACACAUGCAAGUCGAACGGAAUGGCCCUGCUUUUGUGGGUUUCUUGUUUGCCGAACGGGUGAGUAACACGUGUGUAACCUCCCCUUAACUUUGGGUUAACUUUAGGAAACUGGGGCUAUUACCGGAUAUGAUCUCUUGCUCCAUGUUGGGCGUUGGAAAGUUUCGGCGGUUGGGGAUGGACUCGCGGCUUACCCGCUUGUUGGUGGGGUAGUGGCUUACCAAGGCUUUGACGGGUAGCCGGCCUGAGAGGGUGACCGGCCACAUUGGGACUGAGAUACGGCCCAGAAUCAUACGGGAGGCAGCAGUGGGGAAUAUUGCACAAUGGGCGGAAGCCUGAUGCAGCAACGCCGCGUGCGGGAUGACGGCCUUCGGGUUGUAAACCGCUUUCGCCUGUGACGAAGCGUGAGUGACGGUAAUGGGUAAAGAAGCACCGGCUAACUACGUG
rnacentral:rRNA from 1 species